GCCUGAAGUUCGUCUAGACGUUCAUCAGUGAAGCAGAAGAUUCUACUAAUCUUCACCCUCUUCUUCAUCUCAGGACUGAAAACUGGAGAACUUUGAGAGAAGACACUGAAUCACCGAGGUUGACAUUUUGGACAACAAGAAUGAAGACUCUCCUCAUCUUCACCCUCUACCUGAUCUCAGGUCCUGUGGGAUCGGUCGAUGUGAUUGGCUACUCAGGAGGAACCGUUAUAAUGACCUGCAAAUGGAAUAGACUGACAAACUCUUUUUGCAAAACGUCACCAUCCAAUACAUGUGAAUCUACAAUAUAUACUACAGACAGAGGCAGGUGGUUUAACAGAGAUAGGCUUUAUUUAUUUGAAGAAUUCUACAAUCAGUUAGUAGUUCUCUACAGACGCCUCGUCCCAGAGGACACUGGGUCUUAUCAGUGUGCAGAGAGUGGAAGACAGAGAUAUACCAUUAACCUGAGAGUGAAAUCAGAUCCGUGUUGUUUGGGGCCAACAAAUAUGACUGGUCACCUGGGAGAAACCAUCACCAUCAGCUGUUCCUACCCAGAGGAGUUUCA